UUCGACUAAAAAGUUAAAUUUCCUUUUUUACUAGCCAAAUUGUGUUUCUUUGCUUAUGCAAUUGCAACAUAAUUGUCAUUUCGCUUAACUUUUCCAUGAAAUAAUUGUCAUUUCAAAGAUACUCUCAUGGACUCUAUCGAGAGCUACAAGUAGGCUGCACUACUUGAUUAAAAUAUGGAACUUCUCUAGUCUCUGCUGCGACCCGCAAAGUUCCAUGUCGUCUUUCACUGUUCUAUGAUAGCUUCAUCUACACACUCACACACACACACACACACACACACACAAACACUCUGAUAAAAGUCCAAUUCUAGUAUCUUUUGCUGAUUCUAUUUGAGAAAUCAACGAAAGAUAGUUCAGAAGAACUAUAAAGUUCUCUUAUGAUUUGAAAGGUAAGUAUUAAGCAAAACUGAUUAUAUCUAUAUAGUUAUCAGUUAGUAAGCAAAUCAGUCACCUCCCGUAUUUAUGCUAACCGUAAUUAGUAAAGUUAGGGAAAAAGAUCGAUUUUGCGACUAAUUGUGCUGAGCCUGCGCUUACAUUUUUCAAUUGAUGGUUGUGGAAGAGAUCACCAAUGUGAUGAGAUUGACAAAGGAUUUCACCACAAAAAUUAAGUUCGAUGGGCCUACUGUCUUGUUGGAAGUUUGGAUCAGUCAUUGAUCCAUGUCAUGUCUUUAUCCAUUUAUAUUCUUUAUCUGUAUGUGUCUGUAGGCGUUUAUUUGUCUCAAGAAAAUUAAAUGUGUGUCUGUUAGUGUGUGAUAUUUUUGAAUUUGAAUGUAACUAGCCGUAGGGGCAGUUACUUGGCAGUUACUCUGCCUAUAUAUAUGUGUGUUGUAUCAUAUAGAUUAAGUAUGAUGUCUUUUGAUGAAUGAAGUAAAGGAUUCAUCAUCUCUCGUUCUUCUCCUCCUCCAGCUGUGUUUGUGUGAAAACUGCUGCAUAACUAUUGCAGAUUAGAAUUCCUUUAAGCAUAAGAAACCCCAUAUUUCUAUGUGCUUUGGCGAGUUUGAGUGUCUCUCAUUGAGAGAGAGAGAUCGAGAACUAACGGUGGUAUCAGAGCCUAUUAGAGGAUAUUAAGGGUUGUGAAGAUGGCAACAACAACAUCAUUGCUGGGUUUCUCGAGCAUUACUACACCAGUCUUUGAUGGGGAGAAUUACCAGACGAGGGAAGUGAAGAUGAAGGCUUUCAUGGAUGGUGUAAACCUCUGGGAAGUAGUGCUCGAGGAUUAUGAAAUUGCUCCUUUGUUUGCCAAUCCAACCCUCAAUUAGAUCAGAAUUCAUACAGAGAGAGUCACCAGAAAUGCCUAAGCAAAGUCAUGUCUUUAUUAUGCUGUCUCUCCCAUUAUUUUCACAAGGAUCUUGAGGCUUGAAUAUGCAAAAGCCAUAUGGGAUUAUUUGAAAUAAGAGUAUGAAGGAGAUGAGAAGAUAAGGGGCAUGAAAGCCCUGAUUAUGAUGAGGAAGUUUGAGCAGCAGUAGAUGAAGGAAGGAUAAGAUGUGAAGGAUUAUAUGAAGAAGUUAGUGCAAAUUGCAAACAAAGUGAGAGCUCUGGGAUCCGACAUAAGUGAUGAGAGGCUCGGGAACAAAGAAGAAUGAUGAGAAAGGAGGAGCCAUUGGAAGGAGCCCCGCAAGUAAAGUUCAAGAAGAAUGCGGAUGAGAAGGGAAAGAAGUGGCAACACCAGAAGAAACAUGGAAAAGAUGCUGGUGAGCAAGGAAACACUAGACAUGGAAUUAAGAAAGGAAGUGGAACUUAGCACCAUGCCAGCAUUGUGGAAAAAAGGGUCAUGCUCAUUUCAGAUGUUGGAGAAGACAUGAUAUAAGGUGCAGGAAGUGUCACAAGCUUGGCCGCAUGGAAGCGAUUUGCAAGGAGAAGCAAUCUCAGCAGUCAAGAGAAGGUCACAAUGCUGCAAACACUGAGGUUGAAGCUUGCCCGUGGGAGGUAGAUACUACUCUACCAUUCUUAUGGAACUCAUCUGUCCAUUAAGAGGAUUCUAGGUUAGGUGGAGAAAAUGGAAAGAAUCACAGGUAAGUAAUGACCUCACAUUGGAUCCUGUGGUUCCAUAGUAGAACCAUUCCUUAGCCCCUCAGGUUGUUUAAUAAACAUGAACCCCCUCUCAGUAGUCCCAAAAAACAAAGGAACGAUCUAGCUAGAAACCUGAUUAUAUCCAUACCCAUAUAGUUCUUGUUGGGAUUCAAUUACUUGAGCGUUUGUUGGAUCGGAUUCUUUGAAACAUUUAGUUUGUUGUCUGGGCAGAGGAGGUGAAGCACGCUCCUUGUAAGCGUCCGUUAAAUUGAACAAGCUUAAGAGAGCAUUGGACAUGACAACCUUAAACUCUUCAAGGUUGAUGUGUUGGACAGUGAUUCUCUUCGGUGGUGAUAGAGGGAUGCACAACAAAUAGCGAAAGCAUGGUUGAAACACUGAAAACGUACUAAUUUGCAGAGCAUUGCAGGCUAGAAACUCAAAAAACCAUAGCAACUUAACCUUAUGAAAAUUCUAUAUUUUCUUAAAAGUGAUCAUACUCCUGACCAGUUGAUGCAGACUUAAGUUGGGUAUAUUAGCAAGGUCUUAUUUCUUUUUGCGGCUUCUGUUUAUUUUCAAGGAUGCAGUAACGUUACUUUGCCCGUAGAAGCCACAUUGACAUGUCAUGAUAGUGAUGAAGUAGGCCCAUUCAAUACUCAGUGUCGCUGACUAUCUAUGCAGUGCUUAGCACGUUUGUGGGAAUAACUUCCCAUGAUCUCUCAAGAAGAUUCGAGUUCUUGCAAUCACUGAGAGCAGCAAAAGAAUCAUUUGCCAUAUGAGAUAACCUCUUGCUCGUAACGACCUGUUGCUUUUGGUUCCAUGGCACCACUGUAAUAAAUAGCACUUGGGCUCAAUUUCUGCAAAGUGAUGGUGAGGUGUCAUGGGAAGAGAAAUGUAGCAAUGAUGGAGGCGGAGAAGAAGAGUGUGCGUGACAGGGGCGGGAGGCUUCGUUGCAUCAUGGAUUGUCAAGCUUCUCCUAUCCAAGGGCUACAUUGUCCACGAAACCGUGCAAGAGCCGAGUGAGUAACACUAAACUUUCUUUUUUUCCUUUGUUUUUUUACCUUUCGUGCUGCAGAUAGGCUAUGUUCUUGGAAACGUUUAAUCUGUUGUGCGUGCAAGGGACGAGAAGUACGCCCACUCGGACAAGCUCGAGAGAGCAUCUGACAAUCUUAAAUUCUUCAAGGACAAGUUGUUGGACUAUGACUCUCUUUGGUUGGGCCAUUGAUGCACUGGACUCAUCCACAUUGCCUACCCUGUCCCUAACUCCGCUCUGGCCAAUCCUGAUUCCUGAGGCAAGAUCAUGAAAAUACAUCCAGCAUGUUUUUGUUUAGAUUUGGCUUCAGUAUACGACAGCAUCGAAUGCUUCGUGUAGGCGCAUCUACCGUUUCUAUCCAUGGACGGAUUGAAAAGUUGAUGCAGUUGACUCUUUCUAUGCACUUAAUUUUGUGGUCCGUUGGUCUAUCCGUUAGCUAGGGAUGUUUACAUGGACUCGCAAUUUCUUAAAGUUACUCAUAUUGUCAAUAGUGGUAUGCACUAAAUUUUGUGGUCUGUUGGUCUAUCCGUUAGCUAGGGAUGUUUACAUGGACUCGCAAUUUCUUAAAGUUACUCAUAUUGUCAAUAGUGGUACGCUCGGUAAGGAUUACAUGGUUGUCUCUGUUUUCUAGCACAAGCAACUUGUCACAGGUGGAAAUGCUUGAACCAGCCGCAAAGGGAACACUCGAUGUAUCAGGGUAUGCACCGAAGUGAAAGUUAAGCGGGUUGCGUACAUCUUUUCUGCUACUGUUGUGAUAUUGAAUCCAAGUGGUCCAAGAGUCAGGUGCAGGACGAGUCUUGCUUGUCUGACAAGGAACACUGCUGGGCCACUAGGGUAGAAGAACUUGGCUAGGGAGUUAUAUAUCUUCGCAUAUGCAGCCGUGUUGAAUUGCCAUUUCUCUUACUUUUCUGCUGAACUGGUAUUACCUUCCCAAGAAUGAAGCAGAAUUAGUCACUUCUGAAUAUGGGAGAUAAAAUGGGCUGGAUGUUUUUGCAAUUAAUCCUGGAAUUGUUUUUGGGCUGGUUAUGCAGCCUAUACUGAACAGCAUGUUGCUCCUCGUGCGGUUUGUGAAGGGCAUAUAUGUGCAGUGUGAGCUCAGUCGUUAUGCAAGAACUAGCCUAUUUUGAGCGAUUCAUUUUCUUGAA